AGGCAUAAUGAAAGUAAAGGGCAAUUUAAAUAAGUAGCAAUACUUUUUUUAAAUUCCUAAAGGAAGAGAGAUAUUUUUUUUCCUUUGUAUUUUUAAUAUUAAAGGAAAAAAUUAUCUUGCAUUCCUAGGGCGCUUGUAACUCGCAUUGUCGAGUACAUGCGCACCCAAAGCGUACACGAUGAUACCCGAAAGAUGGUGAACUAUGCCUGGCCAGGACGAAGCCAGGGGAAACCCUGGUGGAGGUCCGCAGCGAUUCUGACGUGCAAAUCGAUCGUCAGAGCUGGGUAUAGGGGCGAAAGACCAAUCGAACCAUCUAGUAGCUGGUUCCCUCUGAAGUUUCCCUCAGGAUAGCUUGCGUUCAUUGAUGCGAGUCUCAUCCGGUAGAGCGAAUGAUUAGAGGCAUUGGGGUCGAAACGACCUCAACCUAUUCUCAAACUCCAAAUAGAUGAGAUCCUCGGCUU
rnacentral:rRNA from 1 species